rnacentral:rRNA from 1 species
GAUGAACGCUGGCGGCGUGCUUAACACAUGCAAGUCGAACGAAGCUGUUAAAAGGAAGUCUUCGGAUGGAAUUUUAACAGACUUAGUGGCGGACGGGUGAGUAACGCGUGGAUAACCUGCCUUAUACAGGGGGAUAACGGAGAGAAAUUUCCGCUAACACCGCAUAAGACCACAGCACCGCAUGGUGCAGGGGUAAAAUAUUAAUAGGUAUAAGAUGGAUCCGCGUCCGAUUAGCUAGUUGGUGAGGUAGAGGCUCACCAAGGCGACGAUCGGUAGCCGGCCUGAGAGGGUGAACGGCCACAUUGGGACUGAGACACGGCCCAAACUCCUACGGGAGGCAGCAGUGGGGAAUAUUGGACAAUGGGGGAAACCCUGAUCCAGCGACGCCGCGUGAGUGAAGAAGUAUUUUCGGUAUGUAAAGCUCUAUCAGCAGGGAAG